GGACGGGGGCCCGCACAAGCGGUGGAGCUUGUGGUUUAAUUCGAAGCAACGCGAAGAACCUUACCUGGCCUUGACAUGCUGAGAACUUUCCAGAGAUGGAUUGGUGCCUUCGGGAACUCAGAACACAGGAUGCAUGCAUGGGCUGAUCGAUCAGCCAUCGAUGAUCGAUGAAGAAAUGGUUAGGAGAUAUAAGAUCACACAGAUAAAACAGAAGACAGCCAACACACAAAAGAUAACAAAUAAAAUAUACACAAGACAACACAUCGAAGGAUGAGAGGCAACAUCAUAAAAGAGAAAAACAUAGCCCGAGAUAGAACAAAAACCAGAGANGAGAAAGAGAUGAGAGAGANUAGAACGAUUCAAAAGAUACAAUACAAUAGAAGCCCCAUAAAACAGAAACACAAAAGAGUCUUAUCAUCAAUCAAAUAGACAUAACAAAAAUAGAGAUCAGAGAUAACAAAAAAGAGGGAUAAAGCCCCAAAGACCCNGCCAGAAAAAGAUAGAGAANGACAUAAAAAUUCCCCCAAUUAAAAAAAACCCCCAGAAAUUCCUGAUAAAAGAUAUCCUNGAGAAAAUACCCGACCCAAGAUACCAUAAGACCAAAANCCAUCCAGAAACCACUAGGCCAGAUUAGAAAAAAGAGUUCCGAGGAAAAAUUUCCCGCCNUAANAGAUUAAAAAUUCCNGGUUUGNAAAAAUUUCCCAAAGAAAAAUUGGGUUCCACCCGGAGGGAUAGGAAAAAUUAACACAGAUUANCCACCCCCAGGAGAAGGC
rnacentral:rRNA from 1 species